AUUGGCCUACGGGACGCAGCAGUGGGGAAUAUUGCACAAUGGGGGAAACCCUGAUGCAGCGACGCCGCGUGGGUGAAGAAGUACUUCGGUACGUAAAGCCCUAUCAGCAGGGAAGAAAAUUACGGUACCUGAUUAAGAAGCCCCGGCUAACUACGUGCCAGCAGCCGCGGUAAUACGUAGGGGGCAAGCGUUAUCCGGAUUUACUGGGUGUAAAGGGAGCGUAGACGGCAUUACAAGUCCGGAGUGAAAGCCCACGGCCCAACCGUGGGCCUGCUCUGGAAACUGUAUAGCUGGAGUGCGGGAGG
rnacentral:rRNA from 1 species